GUUGCUAUGGUGAAAUAGGUAGACACACAGGCUUGAGGGGUCUGCGCGCUAAAGCGCAAUCCCGGUUCAAGUCCGGGUAGCAACA
rnacentral:tRNA from 1 species